CCUACGGGGGGCAGCAGUGAGGAAUAUUGGUCAAUGGACGAGAGUCUGAACCAGCCAAGUAGCGUGAAGGAUGACUGCCCUAUGGGUUGUAAACUUCUUUUAUAUGGGAAUAAAAUGUUCCACGUGUGGGAUUUUGUAUGUACCAUAUGAAUAAGGAUCGGCUAACUCCGUGCCAGCAGCCGCGGUAAUACGGAGGAUCCGAGCGUUAUCCGGAUUUAUUGGGUGUAAAGGGAGCGUAGGUGGAUUGUUAAGUCAGUUGUGAAAGUUUGCGGCUCAACCGUAAAAUUGCAGUUGAAACUGGCAGUCUUGAGUACAGUAGAGGUGAGUGGAAUUCGUGGUGUAGCGGUGAAAUGCUUAGAUAUCACGAAGAACUCCGAUGGCGAAGGCAGUUCACUGGACUGCAACUGACACUGAGGCUCGAAAGUGUGGGUAUCAAACAGGAUUAGAUACCCUUGUAGUC
rnacentral:rRNA from 1 species